AUACGGAGGAUGCAAGCGUUAUCCGGAUUUAUUGGGUUUAAAGGGUGCGUAGGCGGAUGAUUAAGCGUGAGGUGAAAUGCCACUGCUCAACAGUGGAACUGCCUCGCGAACUGGUUGUCUUGAAUACGGAUGCCGUGGGAGGAAUGAGUAGUGUAGCGGUGAAAUGCAUAGAUAUUACUCAGAACACCGAUUGCGAAGGCAUCUCACGAAUCCGUCAUUGACGCUGAGGCACGAAAGCGUGGGGAUCAAACAGGAUUAGAUACCCUGGUAGUCCACGCAGUAAACGAUGAUGACUAACCGUCGGCGAUACACAGUCGGUGGCCAAGCGAAAGCGAUAAGUCAUCCACCUGGGGAGUACGUUCGCAAGAAUGAAACUCAAAUGAAUUGGCGGGG
rnacentral:rRNA from 1 species